rnacentral:rRNA from 1 species
GAUGAACGCUAGCGGCAGGCUUAAUACAUGCAAGUCGAGGGGCAUCAAGGUACACGAAAGUGUAUUGUUGGCGACCGGCGGACGGGUGAGUAAUAGGUAGGUAACCUACCUCAUACUGAGGCAUAGCUGGGAGAAAUUCCAGGUAAUUCCUCAUGAGGUUAUAUGACACAUGUGAUAUAAUCAAAGGUAUCGCAAGGUACUGGUAUGAGAUGGGCUUACUGACCAUUAGCUAGUUGGUGAGAUAAGAGCUCACCAAGGCGAAGAUGGUUAGGGGUUUUGAGAGAGAGAUCCCCCACAUUGGAACUGAGAUACGGUCCAGACUCCUACGGGAGGCAGCAGUAGGGAAUAUUGGGCAAUGGGCGGAAGCCUGACCCAGCCAUGCCGCGUGAAGGAAGACGGCCUUAUGGGUUGUAAACUUCUUUACUAUGCGACUAACUAGAUUUACGAGAUAAUUCUAUAGAAUGUAGCAUAGCAAAAAGCAACC